GACAGGAGGGGGCAAGCGUUGCUCGGAAUCACUGGGCGUAAAGGGCGCGUAGGCGGGAUGGCAAGUCGGUCGUGAAAUCCCUGGGCUCAACUCAGGGGGGUCGGCCGAUACUGCCGUUCUUGAGGGAUGCAGAGGAGACUGGAAUUCCCGGUGUAGCGGUGAAAUGUGUAGAGAUCGGGAGGAACACCGGUGGCGAAGGCGGGUCUCUGGGCAUUCCCUGACGCUGAGGCGCGAAAGCGUGGGGAGCAAACGGG
rnacentral:rRNA from 1 species